rnacentral:rRNA from 1 species
CAGCCGCCGCGGUAAUACGGAGGGUCCAAGCGUUAUCCGGAUUCAUUGGGUUUAAAGGGUGCGUAGGUGGGAUUAUAAGUCAGUGGUGAAAUUUUGCGGCUCAACCGUAAAACUGCCAUUGAAACUGUAGUUCUUGAGAGAGUUCGAGGUAGGCGGAAUGAGUAAUGUAGCGGUGAAAUGCAUAGAUAUUACUCAGAACACCGAUUGCGUAGGCAGCUUACCAGACCUUAUCUGACACUGAUGCACGAAAGCGUGGGUAGCGAACAGGAUUAGAUACCCUGGUAGUCCACGCCGUAAACGAUGCAUACUCGCUGUUUGCCCGCUUGAGGGUAAGUGGCCAAGCGAAAGUAAUAAGUAUGCCACCUGGGGAGUACGUCGGCAACGAUGAAACUCAAAGGAAUUGACGGGGGCCCGCACAAGCGGAGGAACAUGUGGUUUAAUUCGAUGAUACGCGAGGAACCUUACCUGGACUUAAAUGUAGGCUGCAUAGAGUGGAGACAUUCUUUUCUUCGGACUGCUUACAAGGUGCUGCAUGGUUGUCGUCAGCUCGUGCCGUGAGGUGUCGGGUUAAGUCCCAUAACGAGCGCAACCCCUAUCGUUAGUUACCAUCAGGUCAUGCUGGGGACUCUAGCGAGACUGCCGGUGUAAACCGUGAGGAAGGUGGGGAUGACGUCAAAUCAGCACGGCCCUUACGUCCAGGGCUACACACGUGUUACAAUGGCCGGUACAGAGGGCAGCUACAUAGCAAUAUGAUGCGAAUCUCGAAAGCCGGUCUCAGUUCGGAUUGGAGUCUGCAACCCGACUCCAUGAAGUUGGAUUCGCUAGUAAUUGCGCAUCAGCCAUGGCGCGGUGAAUACGUUCCCGGGCCUUGUACACACCGCCCGUCAAACAAUGGAAGCCGAGGGUACCUGAAGUCCGUAACCGCAGGGAGCGGCCUAGGGUAAAAUUGGUAACUGGUGUUAAGUCGUAACAAGGUAACCGUA